rnacentral:tRNA from 1 species
GGCCAGUUGACAGAGCGGCAGAUGUGACGGAUUGCAAAUCCGUUUAGGUGGGUUCGACUCCCGCACUGGCUUCCA